CUAGUACCUACGGGGCGCAGCAGUGGGGAAUAUUGGGCAAUGGGCGCAAGCCUGACCCAGCAACGCCGCGUGAAGGAAGAAGGCCCUCGGGUUGUAAACUUCUUUUGUCAGGGACGAAGAAAGUGACGGUACCUGACGAAUAAGCCACGGCUAACUACGUGCCAGCAGCCGCGGUAAUACGUAGGUGGCAAGCGUUGUCCGGAUUUACUGGGUGUAAAGGGCGUGCAGCCGGGCCGACAAGUCAGAUGUGAAAUCCGCGGGCUUAACCCGCGAACUGCAUUUGAAACUAUUGGUCUUGAGUACCG
rnacentral:rRNA from 1 species